UCUAUAAAUGUUGUCAUGUUACCUUUGUCUAUUUACUAGUAAGUGUUAGUUUGGAAGUACUGCACAUACUUCUAUUGGCUUUUAAAUUAAGCAUGGUGCUUAGGUUAAACAGCCUUCCUUAAUCUGAUUAGACAUGGAGUCUAGUUCGGUUAUUGAACUAAAACUGCUUGUGUAGACAUUGGUAUAUUUUUGUCGGACUAACCCCUGCAGAAAAACUUUCAAUAUCGAUUUGGGAAGUCCUGAGAUAAACUCACAUCAGAGAUGAAGAGAGUGACACAUGAAGUUUAACAAUUUGCACAAGAAGGACAUAGCUCAUUCAUCAUAGAGAGAUGAUCCAUGGAGGGUGCCACUAACACGAUGCACAACCGCUAAGAAAGGAAAGCUUCCACAAGGUGAUACUGUACCAUCACUCUUCAAGCAAGGUAACAUCUUAAGGUACUUGACUAUCACUUUUAUAAGCUUCUCCUUGGUUCUGGCGUUCAUAUAAAUAAAAGAGACAAACAUGUAUGAUUUACAACUCUAGAUUAACCAACCCAACUGAUUCAACAUGUUUAGUCCUUUAAUCCUUGUUCUUAGUACUACCUCCAUGAUCCCACACUCCUAAACAUAUGAGCUAAAAUGUUAAACAUUCAAUCAUUGAGAGAUAUAAAGAAAAAGACAUAUACAUAGAUAGAUUAUCUUUCCAUAAGGUUGAGCGAAUCUGAUCUGACAAAUGUUAUAAGUGCUACACUCAUGAACUUUUCAUCCAUCAACUUUGUCUUGCUCACUAUGCUUAGGGUUUGAGAAGAACAAAUACACUUUAGGUUCUGUUGGUGUUUUCCACCAACAGGACCCAUGCACUUGAUCUCUGCCUUGUCUCUAUGAGCAGGUAUACUUCGAGCAAAACACGGAGGAGUUUUAUAACUCUCAGACUCUACCAAGUGAAGGACUUGGAUCUACAAGCACAAACACAGUGAGCAAGAUACUGCCAACGCCGCACUUCGAACUGUUGGGCAAACGAAGAGGUGCAGACGUCAAGGUCCGCACCUGAAUCAAAUGACGCACCUCAAGAAUGAACACGGUGAGAAGUCUUGUUAAGAAGACUUAAAACAUUGAACCCUCACCGAAAGGUAAGAUCGGUAGUUAUCCAUAUUUAUCCUUUCUGCAUUCCCUUUUCCCUUUAAUUAUUUACUUUCCUUAAAUAGAUUAUUAGUUAAUCAUGCUAUCUUGAAAAGAAAAUAAAAAUGUUAAAAAAUACUAAGCCCCAUGUGAGUAUACGAGUGGCAUAAAACCUAUAAGUACCUUCACUGUGGUGGCAUAAAAAUAAAAUAAAUAUUUCUUUUCUGCUUCAUAAAAUAAAAAUAUAAAAACAGGAAGUAAUAUUUAUUGAGGAAGCUCAACAUGAUGAAGGCUAGAUAUUUAUGCUAACACUUAAUUAGUUCCACAAGCUUUGUUGUCUAUUUGAGCUCCACAGAAUUUAAGAAUCAAGAAGACUAGCAGACGGAGGACAUUCUAAUCGCUGUCAGAAUACUGCUGACUUCCAAAUACACCUCUACCACCUGCUAGCUACACCAAGAGAAAUUACGUCAAAAUUCAGCUUGGGGGAGAGCACCCCCAUUUAUCUCGCUAAGUAUUUCUACCUAUCUUUAUACUUAUAUUAUAUUAGAAUAUUAAAAUACAUAAACUAUGAAAAACGAAAUAAAGAUUUUGUGCUUAUAUAUAUAUCUUUUGCUUAGUGUGUUUAAUAAAUAAAUAAAGUAGCUAUGCUAAUCUGAAUCUUAAUAAUAAAACUCUAGCAUGGAUAUGAUGAAUAGUUGCUCUGCCUAAUUUGCAAAUUUGAAGUUCUCUCUCAAGUUUAGACAUAACUGUUAUAAUUUAAAGCUUGCUCUAGAUCUAAACUUGUGGGAUGAAAACUUGAUCUGAAAUCUAAGUUGUUAACGGAUAUGAUAUGGGAAGGUUGAGCUGCUGUUUAUCUGUUCCUAGAGAUGCUAGAAUUCUAGAGAAUUUUAUCUUUGAAAAAUCUUUAGAAUAUUUCAUGAUGAGUUCCUGUAUGAUGAGAGUUUAAAUUCCUACCACAGCCAUAUAUACAUGCUUGCUAGACUUUGAGCCACACAUUUAUUAUUUACUGCUUAUGAGCAUUGAGUGUGGUCAAGCUGUGUAGACCCUUAGGAGCUUGUCAUGUGGUUAAAUCAAGAUUCACUUGCACGUUCACUCAUAUAUGCUACUUCUACUCUGGAAGUACCAUCCACAUAUAUCCAUCCAUGUCCAUCUCUAGAACCACCAAAAAAUAUUCUACUCCUAAUCCGGGAGAGAAUAGCCAAAAAUAUUUCUGUUUUCCCUUGUGAAAUAAAUGCUCAAGUUAUCUUGCUACUACCACUUGCUAUAUUAUCUCAAGAGAUGAGUGCUCUGAAAAAAAAAGAAAAGAGAAGAAAAGAAGAAAAAAAAUAAACGAGGAAAUAAAAAGGGGAAAGUGCCCGGAACCUCGAAAGAAAGAAAAAGUGAGACGAGAGGUAAAAAUGGACAAGUGUCCGACAGUAGAAUUAGGGGUACAAGAUAACCACCUGAGAGGAAAGAAAAACAAGAGCAUCUCAUUCUCCUCAUAAAGUUUCAAAAAGCAAGGAAGGUAUGUAUCCCCUCAAAAGAGCAAAAGUAGAAUUAGACUUUCACCAUUGUUAUCACCAUCAUCACCAUACACCAUUCAUUCGCCACACAAGCACAUCUUGAUUUGACUUAUUGACUUGUUUCUCUGGAUCCAUGGUUUGACUAUUCAAUAAAUGUCUUGUAAGUAUGUAUUAGCUGUCUCCCACCUAUGAGCUCCAGAUAUUAAAGCCUUAUUAGAGUAGGGUGAGAGAGAAGGCAAUGUCACUAUGCCUUAUACCACAAAUACCACAUAUCUUGAGAGAAGGCAUAUACCAUCACUGCCUUGGUAAGGAUCCAGAAAUACCACAAAAGAGAGAUUUAGAGAGUCAUACAAGUAAUCUCUGAGUUUUAUUUGAAAAUCUGCAAAAACUCCAGAGCUAUAGCUGAUCAAGAAUAAGAGACAUGGCACUUGGCUAGACUGUUCUAUCUUUUAACUACUCAAGACAGAAGUGACGGUUACAAGUCCCAUGGUGAAAGGUAAAGUAAGUAAGUUUUAGUUCUUGACAGUUUACUCUAACUCAGAGAUGAGAUCUUAUUUAAAAUCAUGUGUACCGUCAAAUUUUUAAGAUAUUGCAACAACUUCUUAUCCAUUGCUGAGUCUAUCCUUGCUCAGGGACGAGCAAGAGGUAAGCUUGGGGGAGUUUAUUGACGGUCCUUAAUAUCAAAUUUAAUUAUCAAAUAAACAAAGAAAAGGAUCCAAAUGAAAUCAACAUCUAGACUUAGAGUUUUAUCUGACAGAAUUCCAUGAGUUUUGGUGUUUGUCUAUUUCUGCAAGGGGUUAUCAGGAAAUAUGAAAGAAAGGCCCACACUUCGGGUUUACAUAGAGAUAUUAACGUGUCGCGCAAUUUUCUACCAUCUAGAAGACUCCAGAAGCCACGGGAACGAACGGGAGGCCGAUCGGGCCCGGGGGCAGGGCGCCCGCCCAAGUCCCUUGGGUGCCCGCCCAGCUACAGUAACCAAUCAGCUUCAAUUUCGCGGAUCACGCUCCACCGACCUAAUACUUCAAGGAAAACCACACGAUCAAUGUCGGUUUGAUCCGACGGCCCAGGUUCACUUGAGGGGACUAUAUAACCAGACCCCCUGGCCCCUGGAGGAGGCACCCCUUGAUCAUUAUUCAUUAUUCAUAGACAGAGCAAAAGCUAGGGUUUAGAGAUGAGAGCUCUCCUCUCUUCUCUAAACUAGAGUAGAUCUAGAUAGUAGCAAGAUGGAGAGCGAAUGAGGAUUAGAGGAGAGGCCGGCCUGUCGGUUCUUCCUCCGGUUGUACUUCGUCAUGAUCAAGCUCUAAUCAAGCUUUCUCAUGGGAUGACUCUGGUAAUCUACUUCUAAUUCAUUAUGCAAUUACUAAUUAUGUAUGUUCUGGUUCACAACUCUUUUGAGUACUUUAAUCUAUAGGACGCUAUAGGUGAGAGUUGUAGUAUAGGUGUAAGCGUGGUGCUUAGACCUAGAUUACAUGUGGAUAUCCCCUGUCUAGCUGGAUCGUGUGGUAGGCCGCGUAGGUGACAGUUACGCUGGUCCUAUGUAGUCCACCUCUCGUUAGCAGGACGGGUAGGGUUUAUCGACCUAAGGAUAAGCAUCCUUUGUGGUGUACUCUUAUCACGUGGUUCGUCCCAGACAUAGACAUACCCCUUUGAAGUAGGGAAACCAUAGUUAUCCUCUCUAUUCUGCUACCAUCGCCCAUAUACUAGAUUGCUCUACUCUCUAUUCCCAUAUUAUCACCCAUUGUUAUCUUACCUUUAAUAAUGUUCUUAUUCAAUUCUAUCAUCUUUCCUAUUUACACUUAUCUAUCUAUCUUGGUUAAGUUAGAGCGUAGUUGGUUCUCCCGUUUCCCUGUGGAUACGAUAAAACCUUUAACCGGGUAAAAGCUUCAACGGUAUCCGUGCGCUUGCGGAUUAUCUGUGUGCGUAUAAAUACCAUAGUACACUCUAGUGCCAUGCUGGGGAUGACAACCUAGUAUUCAAGUGGUGUUAGCAAGUGUCAACAGUGACCAGUCAGGAUGCCAUUUUCAUCGACAUGUGUUCUUUUUUUCUUUUUUUUUCUGACGAGGCUAGUCUUUAGUAAAUAGUAUUAUUUCAACUAUGUUUAGGCCUUGUUUAGUUGUUAAAAGUUUUUGUAUUUUAAUACUGUAACACUUUUGUUUGUAUUUAACAAUUAUUGUCCAACUAUAGACUAACUAUGCUCAAAAGAUUCAUCUCGUAAAUUACAGAUAAACUAUGCAAUUAGUUUUUGUUUUCGUCUAUAUUUAGUGCUCCAUGCAUGUGCCACAAGAUUUGAUGUGACGGAGAAUCUAGAAAAGUUUUUGAAUUUUGGGGUGAACUAAACAAAGCCUUAGUAAAGAACACAAUUUAGUACUACCUCCAUCACGAAAAGAUGUGACUAUAUAAUUUGUACAAGCGAAACUAGAUUAAUUUUAGUUAAAUUUAUAGUAAACAGUAUUAUUCCAACUAGGUUUACAUAAAAAUAUAUUUUAUAAUUAAUUUACUGAAACUCUUGUAUCAUAAAUAUUGCCCUUUUUAAUAUAAUUCUGGCUAAAAUAUUAAAACUAUUUGGCUCCUCAAAAAUAAGAAUUAUGGAUCCUUUUGUGGAUGGAGUGAAUAUAGAAUAGCCUAGCUUAGUUGGUUGCUUGUAUAAGGUCUUGACAGGCUUACGAGAUGCAGUUUUCAGUUGUUUAUUGUCUAAACAAGGCACGAGGCUAUCCCACGAUAUGCAUAAGAGCUCCCUCGGCCUGGCUUCCAAGAAACAAGUUUCAUUUUCAUUUCACGGGCCUCACUCGCUGGAUCUCAGCAGCC
rnacentral:lncRNA from 1 species